rnacentral:misc_RNA from 1 species
GUAGGUGAACCUGCGGAAGGAUCAUUAACAAAUCAUUGAGCCUUGAGCUCAACAUUUACUCUGGGGUUUAGUAGGGUUCAGUCACUAUUAUUCCCCAUUGUACAUUUACGCUUGUAUUGUUUGACUGUAUCAAUGAAAUCUAUAAUAAAAGACAACUUUUAACAAUGGAUCUCUUGGCUCUU